rnacentral:rRNA from 1 species
AAUGAAGUUUUUGUGACUGAGUGGCGGACGGGUGAGUAACGCGUGGGUAACCUGCCUUAUACAGGGGGAUAACAGUUGGAAACGACUGCUAAUACCGCAUGACGCAUAGAGGUCGCAUGAUCUUUAUGCCAAAGAUUUAUCGCUUCAAGAUGGCCUCGCGUCUGAUUAGCUAGUUGGUGAGGUAACGGCCCACCAAGGCGACGAUCAGUAGCCGACCUGAGAGGGUGAUCGGCCACAUUGGGACUGAGACACGGCCCAAACUCC